CGUAGUGAAUGUCCUUAAAGUUCGGACUAAAUCCGAGCCAAAACACUUAAAAGCCAUCGCGCAUCAGUCAUGCACACAACGCCCAUCAUCAGCUCCAUCGAGGCAAAUUAGAAAGAGAGACAAAACAAGGAAAAGCUGUUUUCCCCUUUUGCCCUUACCGUCGAAGACCUUGAAAGGACGACGGCCAAGACAUCCUGGAUUUCUUCAGCCCGGGUCGGUGCCCCGUAUCCACCGCGGAAAAAAAGGGGACUUUCAGGGAAGACUGCUCUCAUUCCUCCCUCUCCCUGCACCCUCCUUGCAGCUAAAGCCCAUUAAUCUGGAAACUAACAGUGUGGGGAAUGCAAUCUCUCCUGCUGUAACAGCAGAAAUGUAAUCUCCACUGAAAAAAGGUGACUUAAAGCAGAAGUGGCAGAGAAUGAAGUUGGUUGGAGACUCGGAGUCUGUCCCUGCCAAACCUCAUUUCAUCUUAACUGCUCUGAUACAUUCUCCAGUCUAAUUACCCAAUCCACUGACAGGUGUUUUGUUCGUGAAAAGACACACUCACACAAUCGACCUACCUGCUAGUGUCAGCGGAGGUGAUUGCGAUGAGUGGAGGGGUGCGCAGUGGCAGUGUUGUUGGCCGUGGUGGAACUGUGACUGUGUCUGACUCCGACUUGCGAUCCAGGUAGUACUGCUCUGCCUGUCUGAAGGCCAGAGGGGGCAGCUGGACUGUGCGGCAAGAAAGCCUCCGAACCAGGAAGGGCUCCAUGCAGGUGAUCGGCCCCGGCUCUGGGGAGUCGGAUGACUCAUCGGACACCUGGGUGAGGAGGAAGAGAGGGUGGGUGACUUUACAUUGGAGCACCUGAAGAAGAUAGACACACUCUGAAUCUGAAUAUAAAGAAAACAUAUUCUACAGUUAACCCAGAAACUCUCAAAGAUGCAAAGGGAAAAGGAGAAAAAAUGAAUGUAGAGAAAAUAAUUCCAGCUUUUGGUGAAGACAUUUUAAUACCCACGAACAUCAAUGUCCAGACGAUGGUUGUGGUUCAAGUUAUCAUCAGACUUCAAGACUCAGCAGAAACCAAUAUUUAAGAGGAAAGAAAAUGUAUUUGCUAUAGCCAUGAAAGACCAUAAAAAAAACAGUGCACAUUGUAAGUUUGGUCUUUCUUUGAACAACAUUGCUUAUCUGUGAAGUCAAGGUUCCCCAGGCUUCUAAGAAAUUCAUUUCAUUUUAAAAUAAAUCCAGCGGCUUCAAUCUGGUGCUACUGCCACUUAAAAAGUUUUCACUGCUUCUUUUCAAUCUCCUUGAGGAAAAAAAUAAUACUGAGUCAGUGUUUCAGGAGUUCCAACUGUCCCUGACAGUUCUUCUGA